UACGUAGGUGACAAGCGUUGUCCGGAUUUACUGGGCGUAAAGGGCGCGUAGGCGGUCAGCACAAGUCAGUUGUGAAAUCUCCGGGCUUAACUCGGAAAGGUCAACUGAUACUGUGCGACUAGAGUGCAGAAGGGGGCAACUGGAAUUCUCGGUGUAGCGGUGAAAUGCGUAGAUAUCGAGAGGAACACCUGCGGCGAAGGCGGGUUGCUGGGCUGACACUGACGCUGAGGCGCGAAAGCCAGGGGAGCGAACGGGG
rnacentral:rRNA from 1 species